rnacentral:rRNA from 1 species
UACGGAGGGUGCAAGCGUUAUCCGGAUUCACUGGGUUUAAAGGGUGCGUAGGCGGCUAAAUAAGUCAGUGGUGAAAGCUUACAGCUUAACUGUGAAACUGCCAUUGAAACUGCUUAGCUUGAAUCUGGUUGAAGUGGGCGGAAUACAUCAUGUAGCGGUGAAAUGCUUAGAUAUGAUGUAGAACACCGAUUGCGAAGGCAGCUCACUAAGCCAACAUUGACGCUGAGGCACGGAAGCGUGGGGAGCGAACAGG